rfam:Xenopus tropicalis strain Nigerian Chr02_contig_2984, whole genome shotgun sequence.
AAGGUGGCCUAUGCAACAGCAAUGGACUGGUUUAUAGCCGUUUGUUAUGCCUUU